AAGACAUCACUGCUGAAUCGUUGAUCAGUCCAUUUCAUGAACAGAAUAAUAUGUAUCAACAACAAUGCGUGUAAUUUGUUUGUUUGACACAAAAUUUUCCAACCAUUCCGUGAGGGUUUCAAGCAAGCAGUAGGAUUUCACGUGGUAGUACUUUACCCCCAUGUAUCCUUGUUUUCUUUUGGUUUCCCCUCUUAAAAUUCGAUUCUACACACGCAAACUCACUCUAAGUGCUUGUAGUAUAAAUACAUAAGUAAAUAAUUAUAAAGUGACAAUAAUUAACAUUUUGAGGAGGCCGGGGACCUAUCUAUUAAUGCGGAAAAAAAAAAAAAAAUUGUUGAGCUAGGCCAGCAGAAAUUAAUUAAAUCUCACCUAAAGUCCCACCAAGACGAUGUGACAUGACACCUAUAUACAUAUAUAUGAUGAAAUGAUGAAUAUGGCAGUUUGUAUUAAAAGCUUGGAUUGGCAGGUAGCCUCUCAAUAUCUGUAUCCAUUUGCCGAUAUGAUUUACGAUGAUGUAACAAUAUUCUAACAUUUAUUUAAUAAAAGAUGCAAGUUGUACGUGUACUAGUGUAGGAAUGCAGACGUGAGGGAGGAUAAAGGCACGCACCAAUUACGUACAUGCGAAGUGGGAUAAGAAACUUUCGGCUUAUUUAUUAAUAUGGGUUUUGCCUUUUGCAUUUUUAUGGUAUGUGACAAUGUAACACACAAGAAGCAUGCACCUAUAGGCUAUAAUCACGACGAGAAAGUUAAUCACCAGACACCAGAGGCCAUUAACUUUCUACAUGCAUUGUGGCACCUGUUCACAUUGUAGGGAGGAAUCUGUCAAGAGAAGCGACAUUCAUGCAAUUAAAUACGCACAACUUAAUUGGGGUUAACAUAAUAAUUAACAAUUGGAGUACCUUUUGACGAACUGUCUGAUCACGGGGGCCCCUGAUCUCUAGCAACGUCUCCAUCUAGAACUAGUGCUGGAUGGGAUGAGAAAGUUAUCAAACGGGUACCUACUCCAAAUUUCAUGGUUUUACUCGUCCAUCUUGAUUGAUCGGAACAUGAUCCUGAUCUCCAUUUCAAUUAAAAUCAUCUUUCAAACUUGCAAGAUAAAGAAUAAUGGCAGAAGUAAAAUAUUGUUAGUGAUUUCGGGCUUUGGUUCACAGAAGUAAUGUCCACAUACGUCAAAGUGAGUAUACAGGAAGGAAGAUUGUUUUUUGCUUCAUCAUUUCAAUGUAUACUUUCCAGCCACAUAUAAAGAGAAGUGAAAAUCUAUCA